GACGAACGCUGGCGGCGUGCUUAACACAUGCAAGUCGAACGGAAAGGCCCUGCUUUUGUGGGGUGCUCGAGUGGCGAACGGGUGAGUAACAUGUGAGUAACCUGCCCUUGACUUUGGGAUAACUUCAGGAAACUGGGGCUAAUACCGGAUAGGAGCUCCUGCUGCAUGGUGGGGGUUGGAAAGUUUCGGCGGUUGGGGAUGGACUCGCGGCUUAUCAGCUUGUUGGUGGGGUAGUGGCUUACCAAGGCUUUGACGGGUAGCCGGCCUGAGAGGGUGACCGGCCACAUUGGGACUGAGAUACGGCCCAGACUCCUACGGGAGGCAGCAGUGGGGAAUAUUGCACAAUGGGCGGAAGCCUGAGGCAGCAACGCCGCGUGCGGGAUGACGGCCUUCGGGUUGUAAACCGCUUUCGCCUGUGACGAAGCGUGAGUGACGGUAAUGGGUAAAGAAGCACCGGCUAACUACGUG
rnacentral:rRNA from 1 species